rnacentral:rRNA from 1 species
CAGGCCUAACACAUGCAAGUAGAACGGCAGCACGGACUUCGGUCUGGUGGCGAGUGGCGAACGGGUGAGUAAUACAUCGGAACGUGCCUAGUAGUGGGGGAUAACUACUCGAAAGAGUGGCUAAUACCGCAUGAGAUCUACGGAUGAAAGCAGGGGAUCGCAAGACCUUGUGCUACUAGAGCGGCUGAUGGCAGAUUAGGUAGUUGGUGGGAUAAAAGCUUACCAAGCCGACGAUCUGUAGCUGGUCUGAGAGGACGAUCAGCCACACUGGGACUGAGACACGGCCCAGACUCCUACGGGAGGCAGCAGUGGGGAAUUUUGGACAAUGGGCGCAAGCCUGAUCCAGCAAUGCCGCGUGCAGGAUGAAGGCCUUCGGGUUGUAAACUGCUUUUGUACGGAACGAAAAGCUUCGGGCUAAUACCCUGGAGUCAUGACGGUACCGUAAGA